AUGCAUGUCUAAGUAUCAGCACUCGUACUGUGAAACUGCGAAUGGCUCAUUAAAUCAGUUAUCGUUUAUUUGAUUGUACCUUACUACAUGGAUAUCUGUGGUAAUUCUAGAGCUAAUACAUGCGAAAAGUCCCGACUGACUCUGUCUUGGAAGGGAUGUAUUUAUUAGAGUAAAAACCAAUGCGAGUCCUUGCGGCUCGUCUUCUUGGUGAUUCAUGAUAACUUUUCGAAUCGCAUGGCCUAGCGCCGGCGAUGUUUCAUUCAAAUUUCUGCCCUAUCAACUGUCGAUGGUAAGGUAGUGGCUUACCAUGGUUGCAACGGGUGACGGAGAAUUAGGGUUCGAUUCCGGAGAGGGAGCCUGAGAAACGGCUACCACA
rnacentral:rRNA from 1 species